rnacentral:rRNA from 1 species
UACGGAGGGUGCAAGCAUUAAUCGGAAUUAUUGGGCGUAAAGGGCGCGUAGGCGGCAUGGUCAGUCAGGUGUGAAAUCCCGGAGCUUAACUCCGGAACAGCACUUGAAACUGCCAUUCUAGAGGAUAGGCGGAGAAAACGGAAUUCCACAAGUAGCGGUGAAAUGCGUAGAUAUGUGGAGGAACACCUGUGGCGAAAGCGGUUUUCUAGCUUAUUCCUGACGCUGAGGCGCGAAAGCAAGGGGAGCAAACAGG